rnacentral:tRNA from 1 species
GGAGCGGUAGUUCAGCUGGUUAGAAUUGCUGGCCUGUCACGCCGGAGGUCGCGGGUUCGAGUCCCGUCCGCUCCGCCA